rnacentral:rRNA from 1 species
GACGUAGGGGGCCAGCGUUGUUCGGAAUUACUGGGUGUAAAGGGUUCGUAGGCGGUGCGGCAAGUUGGGAGUGAAAUCUCUGGGCUCAACCCAGAGGCUGCUUCCGAAACUGCUGUGCUUGAGUGUGGGAGAGGCGCGUGGAAUUGCAGGUGUAGCGGUGAAAUGCGUAGAUAUCUGCAGGAACACCCGUGGCGAAAGCGGCGCGCUGGACCACUACUGACGCUGAAGAACGAAAGCUAGGGGAGCAAACAGG